UGUAAAUUGGUGGAAAGUAGAACAUAGCUUUUUUUCAUGGUGGAAAUCGAGUGGCGUUUAGUGGAAAAUAGGGACUUAGCAAAUUUUCUUGGUGGCGAAUAGGUGGGAAAAAAACUUAGAAAUUUUUGUGAUGUUUGAUUUAAAAGAGAACUGUAAGACAUUGGAUUACCCUGUACAAAAAUCUUCACAUGGACUCAGGUUGGAAUCAAGGUAUAAUGGACACUAAACUUCAAACUUCAGGCCUAAUUGACACGGAACCUGACUUUGCUAAAACUGCACAUUGACAACAGCUCGUAGAACACAAAAUGCUCCCCGCCCCCACUUGAUGCAUUCAGUAACUGUACAAGAAACAGAAAUCAUUUGGUCACUGUGCACUGAACGUUUGAUGUACUACCUUUAAAUCAAUAAUUACUGGCCAUUUACCAGUCAUAAGUGACUUCUGUAACCCACCCGCUUAGCUCAGUAGGUAGAGCGUUGGUCUACAGAUCGCGGGGUCGCGAGUUCGAUCCUCGGGCGGGGCAUAUGUUCUCCGUGAUUAUUUGAUAAACGACAUUGUGUCUGAAAUCAUUAGUCCUCCACCUCUGAUACAUGUGGGGAAGUUGGCAGUUACAUGCAGAGAACAGGUUUGUACUGGUACAGAAUCCAGGAACACUGGUUAGGUUAACUGCCCGCCGUUAUAUGACUGAAAUACUGUUGAAAAACGGCGUUAAACCCAAAUCAAACAAACAAAACAAAAAAGUUACUUCUGUAUCAAAUGUGAUCUUAGACCAAAGCAUUCUCUAGUUAUUGGGCAAAAAAAGUUCUAGUGUUCUGGGUCAAUGUGACUUAGACCUUUGACCAUUGACUGACCUCAAAAUCAGUAGGGGUCCUCUGCCGGUCAUGAUCAACCUCCCUAUGUAUUUUCAUGAUCCUAGGUCAAAGAGUUCUCAAAUUAACAUCCGGAAACAGCUUAACUGUUCCAGCUCACUGUGACCUUGACCUUUGACCUACUGAACUAAAAAUCUACAGGAGUUAUCUGCUAGCUAUGUUCAACCUUCCCAUUCACUUUCAUGAUCCUAGGCUCAAGAUUAUUAGAGUUAUCAUCUGGAAACUGUUUUAACUGUUCCAGGGCGCUGUGAUUUUGACCUACUGGCCUCCAAGUCAAUAUGGGUCACUGCUGGUCAUGACCAACCUACAUAUAAAGUUUCAUGAUCUUAGGCCCAAGCAUUCUUGAGUUAUCAUCCGGAAACCAAUUGGUCAACAUACCAAAUGACCGACAGACUGACCAACAUCUGCAAAACAGUAUACCCAGGCCCCGUUUUCAAAGGGUUUCAUUAAAAUGAGAAUAAGUCUAUGCUGACACUAGCUGGACAAAAAUAAUAUUCAGAAUGGUAUACAGAAAAUUUUAAUUUUCGUUCUUUUGUGAGACAGAAUAUUUAUUGCUUAUUAUAGCUUUGCAUUAUUAUUAUAUUCAAUGAACGACAGAAAAGGUGGAAAAUAGGUGGCAACUAGUGGAAAUUGGCUGUACUAGCUGAUUCUGAAAAGAUCAUUUUUAAAUGUGUCUGCAGUGUAUUAUUUCUGCAUGAGUGAAAGUUGGUUAAAGAUAAGAUUAAUGAUAGAUCAAGUUACAAGCUCCCACACUAAUGUAUAGAAACAACCCCAGGUGGAAUUUGGGUUAGUUACGAUUUAUAUAUGCAGGCAAACAUCAGGUCAGAUGCAAAGAAAUAGUUCUUGCCUAUUCUCUUCAUUAAUUGAAAAAAAGAAGUGUUUAUAAAAAGGAUGUUUUUACAAUAGCUUUUCAACUUAAGGAUUUGACACCUUCUUUAGCUGACCAAGAAAGUGUAUGUGUGGAAUCAAUUUAUAUGUGUAGUAAUAACAAAAUUUGAAAUCUGGCAUUUGAUGAGUCAGCCUGGGAGAAACUGGAAACACAUUGUGAGAGGUAACAAUAUUAUACUGUUUAUUUUUUUUUAAUUAUUACUGUCUUUAACAUUGUCUUAAUUAUUUACUCUUAACAAAUACCUGAAUUUGAAACAACUUUUACCAAACUGCUUUGAAUUAAAGUCAUCAAAUCUCCUUUUAUGUCUUAGGAAGUUUGGCAGAUGGAUAAAUGCCAGAUAUAUUUUCUGGAAUAUAGCUCAAUCAUAUUUAUAACACUGUUUGUAAAAUUGUAUCAUUUUGUAAUUAUUUACAUUAUUGAUUAGCACUUAGGAUACAAUAUGUACUUUAAACUGUUCAUACCAGGUACCUUCUGUGAAAAAAGUGCAACUUUGUGACAUGAUAUGCCUGCCUGACUGUAUAUACCUGAGCAGCAUACAGCUUAUUACUGCAUAAAAGAAACAUAUCAAGAUAAUUUUGAAUCAGAUUGUGUGCUGGAAAAAUGGCCUUACAUCCAAAGGAGUGAAAUUUGGAGAGUCAUUCGCCAUCUACUUAAGCCAUCCUGGAAUAUGAAAAAAUAAGACUGCAUUGACAACAUCCUGAUCCUCGUGUUCAGACCUUUUGUGAUUUCUUGUGAAGAGUCUUUGAUUUUUCAUAAAAAUAAAAAAUAUAUUAAUAUAAUUUGA